rnacentral:rRNA from 1 species
UACGGGGGGAGCAAACGUUGUUCGGAAUCACUGGGCGUAAAGGGAGCGUAGGCGGCCAUGUAAGUGAGGUGUUAAAUCCCCCGGCGUCAACCGGGGACCUGCACCUCAUACUGCACGGCUUGAGUACAUCAGAGGAGACUGGAAUUCCUGGUGUAGCGGUGAAAUGCGCAGAUAUCAGGAGGAACACCGGUGGCGAAGGCGGGUCUCUGGGCCGUAACUGACGCUGAGGAGCGAAAGCAUGGGGAGCGAACAGG